CUUGGUAGAGCUUUCUCCUGUGAACCUGGAAUCUUCUGACACAGUUAUUUGCUUCUGAUUUGCUGCUAUUCUGAGAAUUGCACGAAGACUCUUCAUGGUGAUGUGACAACUGGAAGAAAAAGAUGAGCUCAUCUUAAUAGUAGCACUUAGAGACUUACCUGAAUAAAUUUAACUUUAAAACGUGCCGUUCAACCAGGCCCUGGUGCUCAGUCAGUUGUAUGAUGUCCAGCUGAAUCAACAUACCUUUCUGCUAUUUUGUGGGGUAUUUCUGAAUGCACCAUAUCUAUUAUUUGGCAACAACACUUCCAUCUCUUCUUGCAGCCAAAAUUAAAUUUGGGGUAUACCAGAACUUGAGAUUUUCCUAUUGCAGAAAGGACCCAGCAAGCACUUAGCAGUGCAUUUUGCAACCACAGCAUCAGUGAAGCCAUUUCCUAAGGUCUCCUCAUAUAAGCCACUACUUCCAAGACCAACAAACUGCAAUUGGAGGUAUCCUGAAGGGCAGUGAGAUGUAUUUCAAGGUAAUGAUCUAAACAAAUUGGAUGAAAUAACUAAAGAUGCUGGAUGCUGUUUAUUCUGCCUUCCUGUAAGCUUUUGGUAAACUGCAGCUGUAUUUUCACAAAUAUUCUUGAGCUCAUGUAGCUUAACCCAGAGUGUUAAUGUACGUUAUCACCACUUCUUGGUGUGCAAGAGCCUCAGAUGAGUGAGACCCCUGGGAGUGAUUGACUUUGCCUGUGGCAGUUUUGUAUUAUGGGCUCGUAAUUGUGAAUUAUAGAUACAGCAGAAGCACUUGCAUGAGAUGCAGGCAGAACUGGGGAGAAGAUGGGAGGAGCUGAUGGAUGAACUUUCAGCAGCAGGAGGACUUGAGGUCCUCCUGCCCUGGCAGCUGAGCUUGAUGCAGAUGUGACUUUGGGAUAUGAGGAUGCUGCUCCUAUUGAUUUCUUUGGGAACAAGAUGACUACAUACGUAACAGGCUUCAACCAACUGUAUCCAAACCUUCUGCUCAUGAGGAGAUUGAUAAUAUUUCAGAGACAAAUUCUUUUUUUUUCACUAGGCUAACAAGUGCUCAUUUAAUUUGCAUCCUGAAACUAAACGACCACAAACAAAGUUCUUUGAAGGGAAUCUUCUUCUUUCAUUCUGUUUUCAUUUAAGGAAAACAGAGAUUUCCAUGUAUAAUUUGCAGGGCUUAAAUAUCCUACUUAGUGUUGUUGUUUCUAUUUUUUUUCCUCAGCAAUUAUGUAGAGUCUUGCACAAAUCUGAUGAGGGAAAGCUGGAAUUUACAUGUUUCUUCCUCUGUUUCACUCUGUGCAUAAUCACCAUCUAUUCAUUGCCUUUACAAACUCCAUUCAUACACCCACUUUCCACACUAGUGCCAGUGGGCAUUUUAAUGCUCUUUUUGCAGGCCUGUUCUGUGUAUUGAAACUCACAUUGGUCUGAAAGUGAUGUUACCACUUUUGACCUGCAUGUCCUCAAGAAGAAAUGAGCUGCAGCAAAGCUUGCUACAACAGUAGGACUGGGUUAGAAUGAGUUGGCUGUUAAAGUAAAUAUUGCUCUUUCUGUUACCAUCCUCUGGCUGAGAUUCAAGUCAGUGGUGAUGGCGCAGCCAGCAGACCCAACUCUGAGCUAUUUCUUGUCAAUUAACACGCUUUGAGAAGUCCCUUUGUAAUGGGGGAAGAAGCAACUUGCAGGUCAAUAAAAUCUGAUUUCAGGCCAUAGGCUGAGUCAGCACCUGGUGAGAGUUCAGAGCACUUCUGUGACCAGCGGUGAGCUCCCAGGGCUUUGGCUGCUGGUGGCCAGUUGUGCUGUGCAGGCCAAGGCCGUUAGUCACCAGUCAUCCACUCACUUCCUUGUUAAACGCUAAGGUGGACGUUUAAGGCAGAACAUUUAGGUAGAGUUUAUUUCAGUUUGAGUCUGUCCUGAAAUAAUACUGAACAACGCCCAGGAGUUGGGUUUAGUGCAUAUUGAACAAUUCUAUCUGACUGCAGUGUGGACAGAAAAUUCCACUUUGAAAUUUAUAUUUUAAGAAAACUCUUUUAUUAGCUCCUGCAUUCUGAUUCUCAAGACGUGGAUUUCACGUGGUCUGGAGCUGUGCAUAAAUCUGCCAUGUGAUAAUCUGCGUGCAUGUGAAAUAGAUUUGAAAGUAGUGGAUGCAAGAUCCAGUGUUUCCUUGCUUGUCAUGGACGUGUGGGUUGUUAUCUUUGGUGAAAAUGGGCUCAGAGCUUUUAGUUAGUGCAAGUGAGUGAUGUACGCCAACAGCAGAGAAAACAUGGGAUCAGUCAGCCAAUAUUCACUCCUACUGUGGAGUUCUCCUCUUUGUGUUGCAAUGGGAUGCAGAGGUAGAGAGAGACACGGCUGAAAAAGCUGCCGUCCUUUGGAGUGAGCAUUCAGAGAAGUUGUUCAUAAUCUAUUUUCCUAAUACUGGGUCUGAAUGUAAAUGUAAUGGCAGGAGGGAGGAUUUAAGCCAUUGGGUCCUUUCUGAGCUGUACAGAAGUGCAAGGUGUGGCUGCCUUUUCUGACAGCUGUCAUUGAGAAGCGUGUACAGAUUUCUGUUUUAUUGCUGAGCCUUUUUGGUCCCAGUACCAAGUGUGGAGCCAUGUCACUGAUAGUUGCUGGGCACUUGGGAAGGCAUGACUUUACUGAAAGUUUGCUUGCCAAAAGGGGUGCAGAAUGCACUGGUUCCUGUCAGGUAUUCACCCGGAUGAGCCUUGGAGCUCAUAGAAGUCUCUUCUGAACGGCAGUCUUUCCUGACCAGCAAGUGGUUUAUUGGCUUAGAGAACAGAAUCUGCUUUCUCACAAAUGCACUACGUUAUGCGUACCUCCUCAAAAUGAGUCACAAAGAAAGCCUCUGUUGGCAUUACGAACCGGGAGGGAAAGACAGGGUGACUUUCUGCUUUGUCAUCAGUUCAGGCCACAGUAAACAAUCCAGAACUCCCAGUGGAUUCACUGGUCUCCAAAUGGUAGCAUAAAAACAACAGGAGAGCUGAAUCAGCUGCAAUGGGCCAUGUUGCAAUUUCAUGACUUCCACUUGUUUUCUCUUGGAUCUGCCCAGGAAAGGUUUGACUGCUGGUGGCAGUUGGUUUGCUUUGCUUUUUUUAGCUUCUCAUACCAUGCAGGGCUGAGGAGAGCACGGCAUUGGCGGCAGUGCUGGGAGAUGGACCAGUUGUUCAGAAGCCGUACAGUUGGAUUAGUGUAGGCCACAGGUGAAAGUUUGGCUGUCACAGCUCAGCUUUCACUCGCUGCUACAUAUCAGUGGUUUGUCUGCGCUGGGGAAGGCAGGAUGAGCCUUGCAGAAACACAGCUCCUGAUGGGGUCUGGUUUGCAAGAAUGGGCUUUUAUUACACAUGAGCUCAAAUCCUCUUCAGCAACCCCUUCAAAAUAGGGGGCGGUCAGAACUUAACUUCCCUGUGUGGUUUGCUUGUUUUGCAGUGAAGCCAGCAUGAGCAUGAAUGUGUUAAACUGAAAACAGGAACUGGUGACAGGCAAAAUAGAGGAAGGAUAUGAGUUAAAAACAGUGAACUGUACUCCUGUCCCUCCUUCCCACCCAUGCCAUACGAUAGAGGACAGAAGCUGAUAUUAUCCCAAGGUGUUUUAUGUAUUUUCUCUGGCUUCCCCACGCUUGAUACAGAGCUUGUAUUUCUUCUCAGAGAGCUAUAUGGUUGAAAAUAACUAAUUUAAUAAUAGCUUCCAGAUAAAUAAAUAGGUGUAGACAGUUCCAUACUUUCCUGUAAAACCAUGGACAGCAAGUUGCUCUCCUACAGGGAAAUUCUGUUUUCCCCCCUUUCUCCUCUUCUUCCAGCUGGGUAGAGAGAGCACGUGUUUUUUGAACUGUGAUGUCUUUCUCCUCAUCCAUACGUCAUUUGUUCUCUGUCUACAGAGUCAUACUGUGCAUAAAAAUGAGUACUUCCAUUUCCACUGAUUGGGUUAGUAUUUUUUUCUACUUGGUGAUGUUUUUACCAGUUUUUCCAGACACUGGCAUGUGUCUAUAGUAAGAGUAUCUUUUUAAGUGGUAUCUAUCCCUAGCUAGGUGUUGGAGCUUCAGGGGAGGAAUCUGCGGUUUGUUUGGAUCCCUACAGCCAUCAGGGAGGGGAGUAACAGCAAACCCUUCCUUAAUGCAGGAUUUGGGUUGCCGCCAUGUUGUGGUAUGCUCAUCCUUCCAUUGGUAAAAAUCUGUGUGAAAGGAGGCUAGGGCAGAAAAAAGACCAAUAUGUAUUCACAGCAGGUACUCUGUCUCCUGUUAUCUAAAUUCUGUGCAAGCAGUGAGCGCUGAUACAGCUCCAUGCCAGCUCUGAGACCACUUAACGCAAAAUAAACAUCUUCGCAGCAUGGCCUGAUACAUGCUCCCUUUAGAGUUGCAGGCACCUCCAAUUAAUCAUGCUGCCUAUGCAGGAAGAGAAUUUAGGAAUCAGAGGACAUUGCUAGACUUAAUGGUCUGAUGGAGAGGUGGGCAGCAACUCAACGUUAAGGGUAAGUGGGCUAUGCUCCCAACCAAGUGAGCAGUGGCAGCCACUCCUUGCCUUGCCUCUCCUGCUCGGUGAGCAAUGUCUUGUCUAUAUGCUGCAAAAUCACAGGCUUUAAUGAGCAGAGUUCUUGGUUCUGGCUUGCAGGAUGUAUUGGUGCUGUGGGGCAGUGCUCAGAGCUGUGCACAUGUUUUUGACUAAACAGCCUUCCCUCCUUUGUGAGAAAAGGCUUUUAUAUUGUAGCUCAGCUGGCAGAUCCCUGCCAUAAAUCUAUGGGUUGACCAAGCCAAAUGACUUCUUGAAAUGUUAAUGAAUGAGAUGUGACCGGUACUCUGGAGUUGGAGUGUCUGUGCGUAGCAUUCUGGGUCAGCAGAGGGGAAUCACCUGCUCCCUGUUUCGAGUGUGGUCCUCAUUAAGUGCCAUUGGCCCCAGCUGUGCAUCUUAAUAACCAUGUAAGCUUUUGGUUUUUGCUUUAAUUCUGGUUAUCUUGAGGAGCGUUGUAUCUUUAAGCGUCAAAAAUGGCACCAAUUACACAAAAUAAGUGGAGGGCUAAAAUCAGAGUAAGAAGGUUUCAGUCAUGGAGCAAGUUGGGCUUUUCAUUGAGUGCUUGGUGCUGCACUCUGCAGGCACUCAAUGCUGCACGGAGCCCAGAGCCAAAGCCAGUCACUGCCCCAAGAAAUGGGAGGUUAGA